AACUGAUACUACCUGCGGGAACCUGCGGAAGGAUCAUUAGUGAACGCCCUCACGGGCUUAUAACUAUUCCAAACCUCUGUGAACCGUGCCCUUCGGGGCUAUUUUACAAACAUGGUGUAGUGAACGUCAUAUAUCAUAACAAAACAAAACUUUUAACAACGGAUCUCU
rnacentral:misc_RNA from 1 species